GACAGAGGGUGCAAACGUUGUUCGGAAUUACUGGGCGUAAAGCGCGUGUAGGCGGCUUGGCAAGUCGGGUGUGAAAGCCCCGGGCUCAACCUGGGAAGUGCACUCGAAACUGCCUCGCUUGAGUGUCGGAGAGGGAAGCGGAAUUCUCGGUGUAGAGGUGAAAUUCGUAGAUAUCGAGAGGAACACCGGUGGCGAAGGCGGCUUCCUGGACGACGACUGACGCUGAGACGCGAAAGCGUGGGGAGCAAAC
rnacentral:rRNA from 1 species